GAUGAAGAACGUAGCGAAAUGCGAUAAGUAAUGUGAAUUGCAGAAUUCAGUGAAUCAUCGAAUCUUUGAACGCACAUUGCGCCCGCCAGCAUUCUGGCGGGCAUGCCUGUUCGAGCGUCAUUUCAACCCUCGAGCCCCCCCGGGGGCCUCGGUGUUGGGGGACGGCACACCAGCCGCCCCCGAAAUGCAGUGGCGACCCCGCCGCAGCCUCCCCUGCGUAGUAGCACACACCUCGCACCGGAGCGCGGAGGCGGUCACGCCGUAAAACGCCCAACUUUCUUAGAGUUGACCUCGGAUCAGGUAGGAAUACCCGCUGAACUUAAGCAUAUCAAUAAGCUGAGGA
rnacentral:misc_RNA from 1 species